rnacentral:pre_miRNA from 1 species
UUUGUGGGGAAUGCUGCCUGGUCCAAGGAGAUCAAUAUAUGAUCACUGUCCCAAUAUAUAUACCUAUACCUUAAAUUUUACUUCAAGCAAUCCAUGGAAACUAAUCCAUUUUCACACAAACAGUUGAAUUAUUAAUAUCAUUGAAUUUGUUAUUGUUUCCUCUUCGGACCAGGCUUCAUUCCCCUCAAU